rnacentral:rRNA from 2 species
GGUUGUCAUGCCAAUGGCACUGCCCGGUAGCUAAAUGCGGAAGAGAUAAGUGCUGAAAGCAUCUAAGCACGAAACUUGCCCCGAGAUGAGUUCUCCCUGAGACUUUAAGUCUCCUGAAGGAACGUUGAAGACGACGACGUUGAUAGGCCGGGUGUGUAAGCGCAGCGAUGCGUUGAGCUAACCGGUACUAAUGAACCGUGAGGCUUAACCUUACAACGCCGAAG